CCCUUAGAUGUUCUGGGCCGCACGCGCGCUACACUGAUGCAUUCAACGAGUUUCUUCCUGGUCCGAGAGGAAUGGGUAACCUUUUGAAAGUGCAUCGUGAUAGGGAUAGACUAUUGCAAUUAUUGGUCUUCAACGAGGAAUUCCUAGUAGACGUAGUUCAUCAGACUGCAUCGAUUACGUCCCUGCCCUUUGUACACACCGCCCGUCGCUCCUACCGAUUGAAUGGCUUAGUGAGGCCUCAGGAUCCGCGCUUAAUGUGUGGAGAAUUUGGACAAACUACGUCAUUUAGAGGAAGUAAAAGUCGUAACA
rnacentral:rRNA from 1 species